AAAAAAUUAAAAAAAAAAAAAACUAAAAAUGGUUAACAAACUUAAACGGACUGGAGAUUAACACAGCAAACUAAGACGACGGAGCAGAUCUUAAGAAUCCAGCACCUUCUUCAUCCAAAAACAAAUCAUCAGUCUUCCUUAUCGAAGCAUGAAUCAACACCACAAACACGCCAACCGCUAGAGAUAUCAGGAUAUUAGAUGUAGCGCCGGUAAACAGCAGCAAAGCGAGAGUAAGAACAGAUAGAACAAUCAGAACCGUACUAUCAGAAAUCAGACGGCCAAAAAUCACUAACGGCUCAUCACGGAGGAAGUACAGAAACAACCAAAUAGCCAUCAAAACUAUGAAGACGAUGAGUGAGAUCGGGUGCCAGAGAAGGCUUAGGAAGACAAUAACGAGCACUAUGAUGGCAUAGUUCGUCUGGAAGAAGGAGAAAUUUGUCUUGAUUCGUGAUAUAGCAUCGCUGACUCCGGAUGGAAGAUUGAAGGAGUGGAAAUUGAACAUCUCCUUCCAUGGCCUACGAGCAGCUAAACCUUCCUUUAACACAUCUUUUGCUCUACUGAUGAACUCCACGUUUACCGGACCGGAAGAUGACGUCGGUAUUGUGCCGUAAUUCGUCAUUUUCUGGCCGGAGAUUUUGAAAACGGAGAGGAUUUUUUCUUCGCUGUUUUAGUGAAAAUGGAAGCUAAAAA
rnacentral:misc_RNA from 1 species